GUGGGCAUAUAGCUCAGUGGUAGAGCCAUUGCCUAGCCUGCAUGAGGCCCUGAGUUCAAUCCCCAGUAACACACA
rnacentral:tRNA from 1 species